UAGCUAGUUGGUAGGGUAAGAGCCUACCAAGGCGACGAUCGGUAGCUGGUCUGAGAGGAUGGCCAGCCACACUGGAACUGAGACACGGUCCAGACUCCUACGGGAGGCAGCAGUGGGGAAUAUUGGACAAUGGGGGCAACCCUGAUCCAGCAAUGCCGCGUGUGUGAAGAAGGCCUGAGGGUUGUAAAGCACUUUCAGUGGGGAGGAGGGUAUUUAGGUUAAGAGCUAGGAUACUGGACGUUACCCACAGAAGAAGCACCGGCUAACUCCGUGCCAGCAGCCGCGGUAAUACGGAGGGUGCGAGCGUUAAUCGGAAUAACUGGGCGUAAAGGGUGCGUAGGUGGUUAGAUAAGUUAUCUGUGAAAUCCCCGGGCUCAACCUGGGCAGGUCAGAUAAGACUGUUUGACUCGAGUAUAGGAGAGGGUAGUGGAAUUUCCGGUGUAGCGGUGAAAUGCGUAGAGAUCGGAAGGAACACCAGUGGCGAAGGCGGCUACCUGGCCUGAUACUGACACUGAGGCACGAAAGCGUGGGGAGCAAACAGGAUUAGAUACCCUGGUAGUCCACGCCGUAAACGAUGUCAACUAGCUGUUGGCCUUAUGAAUAAGGUUAGUGGCGC
rnacentral:rRNA from 1 species